rnacentral:rRNA from 1 species
UACGGAGGGUGCUAGCGUUGUUCGGAAUUACUGGGCGUAAAGCGCGCGUAGGCGGCUUUGUAAGUCGGAGGUGAAAGCCCGGGGCUCAACCCCGGAAUUGCCUUUAAGACUGCAUCGCUUGAAUCCGGGAGAGGUGAGUGGAAUUCCGGGUGUAGAGGUGAAAUUCGUAGAUAUUCGGAAGAACACCAGUGGCGAAGGCGGCUCACUGGACCGGCAUUGACGCUGAGGUGCGAAAGCGUGGGGAGCAAACAGG